GAUGGACGCUGGCGGCGUGCUUAACACAUGCAAGUCGAACGAUGAAGCCCAGCUUGCUGGGUGGAUUAGUGGCGAACGGGUGAGUAACACGUGAGUAACCUGCCCUUGACUCUGGGAUAAGCCUGGGAAACUGGGUCUAAUACUGGAUAUGACUUCUCAUCGCAUGGUGGGGGGUGGAAAGAUUUAUUGGUCUUGGAUGGACUCGCGGCCUAUCAGCUUGUUGGUGAGGUAAUGGCUCACCAAGGCGACGACGGGUAGCCGGCCUGAGAGGGUGACCGGCCACACGGGGACUGAGACACGGCCCAGACUCCUACGGGAGGCAGCAGUGGGGAAUAUUGCACAAUGGGCGCAAGCCUGAUGCAGCGACGCCGCGUGAGGGAUGACGGCCUUCGGGUUGUAAACCUCUUUCAGUAGGGAAGAAGAGAGAGUGACGGUACCUGCAGAAGAAGCGCCGGCUAACUACGUG
rnacentral:rRNA from 1 species